rfam:Catenulispora sp. 13_1_20CM_3_70_7 13_1_20cm_3_scaffold_16939, whole genome shotgun sequence.
CUUCACCGAUCCCAGCCACAGCGGCCGCCCGGCGGGCCGGCCCCGGCCGUAGGCCGCCAGCAGGGCCUGGGCCUC